rnacentral:lncRNA from 1 species
CUACUAUGGUCAGCAAGGAGGUGAUGAGGGACACUCCGACAUGUCCAAGGAGACUCGAGGGCAGAUAAAGGGGUUUGUGGAUAUAGAUUUUGCUGAGAUAUGGACACUCGGUAUUUGACGACAGAUUUUGUGUUCAACCUGUAUGAAGGUCCUAUCUUGUGAAGAUCUUACUUACAGCCUAUUACAACUUUGUCUACCACCGAAGUGGAGUAUAUUGGCAUCACUGAGGCAGCGAAGGAGG